CUGGAAAGGCCCGCCAAAGACGGUAACAGCCCGGUAGUUGAAAUGGCUUUCCCUCCAGAGUGGAUCCUGAGUACGGCGGAACACGUGAAAUUCCGUCGGAAUCCGGGAGGACCAUCUCCCAAGGCUAAAUACUCCCUAGUGACCGAUAGUGAACCAGUACCGUGAGGGAAAGGUGAAAAGCACCCCGGAAGGGGAGUGAAACAGUUCCUGAAACCGUGUGCCUACAAGUAGUUAGAGCCCGUUAAUGGGUGAUAGCGUGCCUUUUGUAGAAUGAACCGGCGAGUUACGAUUUGUUGCAAGGUUAAGCGAAAAAAGCGGAGCCGUAGCGAAAGCGAGUCUGAAUAGGGCGCAUAAGUAACAGGUCGUAGACCCGAAACCAGGCGAUCUACCCAUGUCCAGGAUGAAGGUAAGGUAAUACUUACUGGAGGUCCGAACCCACGCACGUUGAAAAGUGCGGGGAUGAGGUGUGGGUAGCGGAGAAAUUCCAAUCGAACUUGGAGAUAGCUGGUUCUCUCCGAAAUAGCUUUAGGGCUAGCCUCGAGGUAAAGAGUCAUGGAGGUAGAGCACUGUUUGGACUAGGGGCCCUUCUCGGGUUACCGAAUUCAGAUAAACUCCGAAUGCCAUGUACUUAUACUCGGGAGU
rnacentral:rRNA from 1 species